UAGGGAAUAUUGGACAAUGGGGGCAACCCUGAUCCAGCAAUGCCGCGUGGGUGAAGAAGGCCUGCGGGUUGUAAAGCCCUUUUGGUAGGGAAGAAAAGCCUGGAGUUAAUACCUCCGGGUGUUGACGUAACCUACAGAAGAAGCACCGGCUAACUCUGUGCCAGCAGCCGCGGUAAUACAGAGGGUGCAAGCGUUAAUCGGAAUUACUGGGCGUAAAGCGUGCGUAGGUGGUUAUUUAAGUCGGAUGUGAAAUCCCUGGGCUCAACCUAGGAACUGCAUUCGAAACUGACUAGCUAGAGUACAGUAGAGGAUAGCGGAAUUCCCGGUGUAGCAGUGAAAUGCGUAGAUAUCGGGAGGAACACCAGUGGCGAAGGCGGCUAUCUGGACUGAUACUGACACUAAGGCACGAAAGCGUGGGGAGCAAACAGG
rnacentral:rRNA from 1 species